CUUGGCCCCCUCCUCGGCCGUGGCUCCAAGAUGGCGGCUCCGAGACGGAUCACGUGAGCGGCGGGCAGGUCAGGGUCUCUCUUGUUCCACUGAUGUUCCAGGUUGUCUGGUCCAUGAGCUUCCAGGUAAUUCUCGUUUCCAAUUCCCACUUGCCUUAGGAGGGCUGGGGUUAUGAUGCGUUGUAUCUCUUUUUUCGUGGGUUCUGGGGACAUUUGUGUUUGCGGCGGACGGAGGUGAGUGAGGUUGUAUUUUGUGUUGGCGCCUUUUCCCCUGUUGUGACCAGGAUAGGUACGAGGCUAAGGCUGAGGUUGGCUCACAGUUUCCAAGGUUUGAGUCCAUAGUAACUUGGUCACAUUUUCUUAAGCAGUGUAUUGUGGUGGUGGGGACACUGGGUGAAUAGCUCAUCUUAGAGUGGAGAAGAAGCAGAGAGAGAAAAGGAUGCAGGAGAGGACCAGGGGAAGAGACAGCCAUAAGAAUACGCCUACACUGACCUACAUCCUGAACUCAGCCCCACCUCCUGCCCCCUACCACCUCCACUGUAUUAGAAGCCCACCGCUGGACAAUCCAUUGCUGUAGGUCAGAGCCCUCAUGGUCCAGCUGUCUCUGGAAAUGGCAUCAUAGCGUCACCCAGAUCAAGCUGCAACCAUGGUUAACUAUCACAGAUGACUUUGUUUCUAAAUUCUUAUCCAUUGGAGCUCAUUUGCUCUGGACUAGAAUCCUGCUUACUAGCGAAUAAAGUAAUUCCAAAUGAUAGUUUAAAGAAAAAAAAAAAAAGAGUUCAAAGAGAAGCACAGGCAUGGCUGGACAGCACCUCCCCCAGAAGAUGCGAGUUAUUGGGUGAACUAUGGCACGAGGGCAGGGACACCUCCACAGGAGGCACUGGUCUGGGAGGCCCCAGAGGUCUCCAAGACAACCAGGCUCUUACCAUUGUUCUUAGCUACCCAAUGCAACUCCCCUUUUGCUGGAUUCAAAAUGUCAAGACAACAGCCUAAUUGGAAUCUUUUUUUUCCCUCCCUUUCUCUUUCUUUCUGUCCUUCCUAUCCCAUCCCCAUCCCUCUCUCCCCCCCCUUUCCUUCCCUCCCUUCCCUUGUAUUCUGGUAGGGUCUUAUGUUAGCCAGGCUGGCCUUAAAUUGUGAUCCUCCUUCCUCAGCCUCUUGACACAUCAUCAGAAUCAUGGGAGUGCAUCAUCAUGCCCACCUCUGAACUCACUGUCUUUAUCCUCACCACCAACAUCACUUUCUUUUUUUCUUUAAGAGAAGCAAAAUCCCAUGCGGGGUUCUGGCUGCCCACCCAGAAGUCUUACCCACCAGGUUAACAGGCUGAAGAGUUUGAUGCAAAACAAAUUGCCAAGCUGGCAGCGAACAGUGUGAAAUCCAACUGGCUGGAAACUGUGUCUCAUUAGACAGAGGCCAUGCGCACAGCAAACCCAAAGCACUUGGAACUAGUCAGUGUGAUUCCUUUGCAGGAGGCAAAGACGUGCUAUUCACUGUUAGGCAGCCAGUCGCUUCUACUAAUCUGUUUGCAGUUUCUCUCUCUCAACGCUCCUGCCUUCUCAAGAAAUCUUAUCCCUUCCUAGCGCCUUCAGUUUGCUUUGGCCCACUCACAUCCAGCACACACAGUGAGGUCCUCACCAAGAGACACUCUUGUCCUCAUCUGCUUAGCUUCAAGACCCAUGGGGUUGAGUUUGAGUUUGGAUCCCCAGCCCAACAGUUAGGUUGAGACCUUAUCUAACCUUUGCAGAUGAGAGGAGGGGGAAAAUUGUUUUGGCAGCAAAAGAGCCUGCCUUUGCUUGAGUCUUCACGAAAUGGAUGUUUACAUUUAUGCUAACAUUUCUUUCUAACCUCUGCUUGGCAUUUGUUCUGCUGAAGAAGUAGGUUAAAAAAUUCAUAUGCAAACAAAAUCCAAAAUAUUUUUUCGUGUUGUAGAGUCAAGUGUUAACCACCCACUCACUUCUCAUGUGAGUUAGCUUCUUGACUUCUAAAAACAAAACAGCAGAACAAACAGAAAUACCUAAGAAUGGUAAAAAAAAAAAGGGGGGGGGUGGGAAGGGCUUAUUUAUUUUCCUUCCAUCUAUGUGAGUAUUUUUUGUGUGUGCAUGUAUGUGUACCACAGGCAUGCAGUGCCUAAGGAGGCCAGAAGAGGGCGUCAGAUCCUGCAGUUAUACAUAGCCUUGGGCUGCCAUGUGGGGUGCUGGAAAUUGAACCUGGAUCCUCUGCCAGAGUAGCCAGUGCACUUAACCUUUGAGCCAUUCCCUCCAGACCCUAAAAAAGGGUUUAUUGUUAACCUUCACGCUCAUCACUCAUCUCCACCAAGUUGUGCACGAUCUCCCCCAAACACCACAAACUCCUGAUUUCUUUUUUUCACACCCAUUUUAGAUGCUGCCUCUUCCCAGGUUUGUACCCCAUCAUCCAGAGCCCUAGCCUUGCCAGUACUUCCUAAGAAUUCAAUCCUGUUCUCGUCCUCCUCGCAUUUCCAACUUUCUUUUCUUUCUUUCUGAGUGCUGGGGAUUAAAGGAAUGAACCAAGUAAGAAGUAAGAUUUAUUAAUUAUUUUUGUCUCAUGUGUCUGAGCGUUUUGUCGGCAUGGACGUGGUACACGGAUGAUUGCUGCCUGUGGAGGCCAGAGAAGGCGCUGGAUUCCCUGGAACUGCAAUUGGGGAAGACUGCAAGCCGCCUGAUGUGGGUGCUUGGUACCCCCAACCCCAGCCCUCUGCAAAAGAGCAGGAAGUGCUCUGAACUUCCGAGUCAGCCCUCCAGUCCACACUUACAAGUUUUUGUAGUCCUGUUACCUGCCGUCUCCUGACUGAGCCUCUGCCCACUUGGAAGUUGUUGCCUGUGCAGCCCUCCCUCCUCCCCUGUGCGCGGCUUCAUUUUUCCACAGCCUUGGAAUUGUGUAUCUUGCUGCUCUGUCACAGAAGUCAUUCCACACAAAGCCAUCUGUGAUUGUCCCCCAAUAUCCGAGGCACAGUGGUGUCCAAUUUUAAUAUCUCGCUCUCGUGCGCAGAGGCGAUCUGUUCCUAGAUGACAGUGAAUCAGUGGAGAGAUAUGGCAAGGGCGCCGGAGGGGUCUCAGCCUCCCGGAUGGCCCCUGCAACAUCAGAAGCGGCCUCUGCUGGGAAAUUACCAUGCUUAUUUUUGGAGGACUGGUUCUGCCUUGACGCUGUGUGUCCCAGUAGCUACAGAAAGCAAUGCAGGAAGGGCAAAUCGGGUGGGAACAUGAGCCCUGGAAGAGCCAGCCCCAUGCGGCAGUGCAACCCAUAGACAGUCUAUGGCUUUGUACCUCAUGAGGGCAUCUGAAAGCCGGGGGAGUGUUUCUUCAUCGCAGAAGAUGCAUUCAUUAUUGCGUAAGAAGACUGUCACAAACACGCGACUGCUGAUUCCAUCAUGGCACCUUGCUGUGUGUCACUGUCCCUGGGGAAGAUGAGAAUGAACAUCUACUCCUCCCAAAUAGAGAACGAUGAUGACAGACCAAAGUUAGGACACCGCCAGAGUCUGACUAGCUAGGUGGCCACAAUGAGCUCUAGUGGGGUUACUUACAGGAGCAGAAAUGAUUCACAGACAGCAGCAUCACCGACCCCGCCCCAGUGUGGGUGACACACAGCUCGCAGAGCUGGGAACCUGGAGCUCACUGCACAGCCUGCAGGGAGCUUGAUAGGUUGGAGAGCUUCCUCGUCGCUCUGAACCUCUUCCGGUGGCUCGGCUGGCGGGAGAGUCCUUACUGCUUACGUGUGCCUGGGGAGGGAGGUGCUUACUGUAUCUGGUCAGUUUCAGGGACUUCCUGAAGCCUUUGAGUUGUUUUCUUCCUGAGUUUACGGAACUCCCCACGCAGGACUGAGUGUUCCACCACUCCCCCACCUAGAACACUCUCAGUCUUAAUGAGCUUCCUUCUAAGAUGGAAUGUUUUAUCUGGGAGGAAAAUGCUGCACAGCGCACCAGCCGGGGACAGGAGACCAGAAACACCAACCCCCUGGACAGACAAACUUGGAUGUAAAUCAGCUUCCUUCCCCAGACUCCCAAGGCCUGAGAGAUUUUUAUGACCUAAUGACUAGAAAGGGGAGGUGGAGAUUGUUCUGCCAGAUAAAAACCAAACUGGGGAAUGGCUUCAAGGAACUCAGGGAUGGAGAAAACUAAAAUAAUGAAAACCAAUAGUGCGUCGGAAGUGAUCUUACAGUUCAAUCUGAGCAGGGCGCUGUGCGCGGAAUGGGUGAGAAAUUUCAUCGUACUGUGGCAGCAAGCACACUUUAUGGCAAUGCAUGCUGCCUUGCUAAUCACUGCCGCCUCACACUGAGUCGUGCGGAACACCAACACACAGUUCAAGCCCUAGAGUCCUAGGGCUGGAACAGCGUGGACUCUGCUGGGAAGGAAGUUCACUGGCACCUCAAGAACUCAGCUGCAGAGCUGGGGCUGCACACGAGUCAUCUCUGCCCUUCUCCUCUGCCUCCUGGCUCCGAGCGUCCUGUGUGUGUUUGGCUCACAUGACAUGCUCUCCGACGGUCCUAAAGUCCUUCCCCACAAAACCUUAAUGGUUGCUGUGAUGGCAA